UACGUAGGGUGCAAGCGUUGUCCGGAAUUAUUGGGCGUAAAGAGCUCGUAGGUGGUUUGUUGCGUCGGCUGUGAAAACCCGGGGCUCAACCCCGGGCCUGCAGCCGAUACGGGCAGACUAGAGUUCGGCAGGGGAGACUGGAAUUCCUGGUGUAGCGGUGAAAUGCGCAGAUAUCAGGAGGAACACCGGUGGCGAAGGCGGGUCUCUGGGCCGAUACUGACACUGAGGAGCGAAAGCGUGGGGAGCGAACAGG
rnacentral:rRNA from 1 species